UACAGAUGGAACCCGCGGCGCAUUAGCUAGUUGGUGAGGUAACGGCUCACCAAGGCAACGAUGCGUAGCCGACCUGAGAGGGUGAUCGGCCACACUGGGACUGAGACACGGCCCAGACUCCUACGGGAGGCAGCAGUAGGGAAUCUUCCGCAAUGGACGAAAGUCUGACGGAGCAACGCCGCGUGAGUGAUGAAGGUUUUCGGAUCGUAAAGCUCUGUUGUUAGGGAAGAACAAGUACCGUUCGAAUAGGGCGGUACCUUGACGGUACCUAACCAGAAAGCCACGGCUAACUACGUGCCAGCAGCCGCGGUAAUACGUAGGUGGCAAGCGUUGUCCGGAAUUAUUGGGCGUAAAGGGCUCGCAGGCGGUUUCUUAAGUCUGAUGUGAAAGCCCCCGGCUCAACCGGGGAGGGUCAUUGGAAACUGGGGAACUUGAGUGCAGAAGAGGAGAGUGGAAUUCCACGUGUAGCGGUGAAAUGCGUAGAGAUGUGGAGGAACACCAGUGGCGAAGGCGACUCUCUGGUCUGUAACUGACGCUGAGGAGCGAAAGCGUGGGGAGCGAACAGGAUUAGAUACCCUGGUAGUCCACGCCGUAAACGAUGAGUGCUAAGUGUUAGGGGGUUUCCGCCCCUUAGUGCUGCAGCUAACGCAUUAAGC
rnacentral:rRNA from 1 species